rnacentral:rRNA from 1 species
CGCAUCUGUGCAUGCAGCAUAUCAAUAAGCGGAGGAAAAGAAACUAACAAGGAUUCCCCUAGUAACGGCGAGUGAAGCGGGAAGAGCUCAAAUUUGAAAUCUUAAAGGGUUUCCCUUUACGAAUUGUAGUUUAAAGAAGUGUUUUCUGUUGAGGUUUUGGUAAAAGUUCUUUGGAAUAGGACAUCAUAGAGGGUGAGAAUCCCGUAUUUGACCUUUACUUUCAACUUUGUGAUACACUUUCAAAGAGUCGGAUUGUUUGGGAAUGCAGUCCAAAAUGGGUGGUAAAUUUCAUCUAAAGCUAAAUAUUGGCGAGAGACCGAUAGCGAACAAGUACCGUGAGGGAAAGAUGAAAAGAACUUCGAAAAGAGAGUUAAACAGUACGUGAAAUUGUCAAAAGGGAAGCGUUUGACACCAGUGUUGUUUUUCUGAAAAUCAAUUAAAGAACUGUUUAUGCUAAGUUGUUUAGACUUUAUCAGCUAACUGUUUAGUUUUGAGCUUUUCUUUAAUGCACUUUUCAGUUAACAAGUCAACAUCAAUUUCUUUUGCUGUAAAAAAGCUUGAGGAAGGUGGCUUGAGAUUCGUCUUAAGUGUUUAUAGCCUCUUGCCUAUGCAGUCGGAGAGAUUGAGGUCUGCAGCGUAGAUCCUUCGGGGCUAAAUGCAUUUGUGCUAAGUUAUAGCAUUUCAUAGACAACUUGUUGACUAUGAUUUGUCUUGUAGCUUACUCGCUUAUGUUAUUUUACCUACGCUUAGGAUGUUGACAGCAGUAUAGACUGU